CUUGAGAGAACUCGGGUGAAGGAACUAGGCAAAAUGGUGCCGUAACUUCGGGAGAAGGCACGCUGACACGUAGGUGAAGUGAUUUACUCAUGGAGCUGAAGUCAGUCGAAGAUACCAGCUGGCUGCAACUGUUUAUUAAAAACACAGCACUGUGCAAACACGAAAGUGGACGUAUACGGUGUGACGCCUGCCCGGUGCCGGAAGGUUAAUUGAUGGGGUCAGCGCAAGCGAAGCUCCUGAUCGAAGCCCCGGUAAACGGCGGCCGUAACUAUAACGGUCCUAAGGUAGCGAAAUUCCUUGUCGGGUAAGUUCCGACCUGCACGAAUGGCGUAAUGAUGGCCAGGCUGUCUCCACCCGAGACUCAGUGAAAUUGAACUCGCUGUGAAGAUGCAGUGUACCCGCGGCAAGACGGAAAGACCCCGUGAACCUUUACUAUAGCUUGACACUGAACAUUGAGCCUUGAUGUGUAGGAUAGGUGGGAGGCUUUGAAGUGUGGACGCCAGUCUGCAUGGAGCCGACCUUGAAAUACCACCCUUUAAUGUUUGAUGUUCUAACGUGGACCCGUAAUCCGGGUUGCGGACAGUGUCUGGUGGGUAGUUUGACUGGGGCGGUCUCCUCCUAAAGAGUAACGGAGGAGCACGAAGGUUGGCUAAUCCUGGUCGGACAUCAGGAGGUUAGUGCAAUGGCAUAAGCCAGCUUGACUGCGAGCGUGACGGCGCGAGCAGGUGCGAAAGCAGGUCAUAGUGAUCCGGUGGUUCUGAAUGGAAGGGCCAUCGCUCAACGGAUAAAAGGUACUCCGGGGAUAACAGGCUGAUACCGCCCAAGAGUUCAUAUCGACGGCGGUGUUUGGCACCUCGAUGUCGGCUCAUCACAUCCUGGGGCUGAAGUAGGUCCCAAGGGUAUGGCUGUUCGCCAUUUAAAGUGGUACGCGAGCUGGGUUUAGAACGUCGUGAGACAGUUCGGUCCCUAUCUGCCGUGGGCGCUGGAGAACUGAGGGGGGCUGCUCCUAGUACGAGAGGACCGGAGUGGACGCAUCACUGGUGUUCGGGUUGUCAUGCCAAUGGCACUGCCCGGUAGCUAAAUGCGGAAGAGAUAAGUGCUGAAAGCAUCUAAGCACGAAACUUGCCCCGAGAUGAGUUCUCCCUGAGACUUAGAGUCUCCUGAAGGAACGUUGAAGACGACGACGUUGAUAGGCCGGGUGUGUAAGCGCAGCGAUGCGUUGAGCUAACCGGUACUAAUGAACCGUGAGGCUUAACCUUACA
rnacentral:rRNA from 1 species